CGAAAUGCUGUGAAGGUGUAUAGUAAUGACAUGUUUACCUGCAGAGAGAGGUUGCCAUCGGCUGCGAGCAUCCUCAGGUUCUGACAUGAAGUGAAAUUCCCACCGGAGCUUUCUGAUUGAAUCAGUCUUGUAGUAGAUCAGAACGUUGCACGCGUUAAGUGCUCAGAGGUGUCUGUUCAUACAAUAUGGGCAGGAACAUGGGUGGUACCGCGGAUCAUUUCGUCCCUUGU
rnacentral:ncRNA from 1 species